rnacentral:SRP_RNA from 1 species
UGUACGGGAUAGGAGGGGAGCUGGACGUACCCUGUACCGCAAAUCGUCCUUAUGGCGGUCCGAACGCCUUGGGCGGCGUAAACGAGCCUUUGGUUUCCUACAUGCGGACUACGAAGCCUCGCCCCAUAGUGACUCGGGUGGUAUGAGCCUCUUCCGGAAGGAAGUGGUUAGUACAUAGCUGGGAGAUCAGGUCAGGCCGGGAACGGAGCAGCCCUACUCGGGGCCAUGGGUGCCUAUGGAUCUCGGGGUGGAGAAAGUGUGUAGAUUACGGCCAUUGGAAACGAGCGACAACCAAGGAAUGCCCA